ensembl:snRNA Gm24856 predicted gene, 24856
GUGCUCACUUCAGCAGCACAUAUACUAAAAUUGGAACGAUACAGAGAAGAUUAGCAUGGCCCCUGCACAAGGAUGACACGCAAAUUCGUGAAGCAUUCCAUAUUUUU